UACGUAGGGGGCAAGCGUUGUCCGGAAUCAUUGGGCGUAAAGCGCGUGUAGGCGGCUCGAUAAGUCUGCUGUGAAAGUCCAGGGCUCAACCCUGGAAAGCCGGUGGAUACUGUCGGGCUAGAGUCCGGAAGAGGCGAGUGGAAUUCCUGGUGUAGCGGUGGAAUGCGCAGAUAUCAGGAGGAACACCGAUGGCGAAGGCAGCUCGCUGGGACGGUACUGACGCUGAGGCGCGAAAGCGUGGGGGAGCGAACAGG
rnacentral:rRNA from 1 species